rnacentral:rRNA from 1 species
GAUGAACGCUGGCGGCGUGCCUAAUGCAUGCAAGUCGAGCGAACAGACGAGGAGCUUGCUCCUCUGACGUUAGCGGCGGACGGGUGAGUAACACGUGGAUAACCUACCUAUAAGACUGGGAUAACUUCGGGAAACCGGAGCUAAUACCGGAUAAUAUAUUGAACCGCAUGGUUCAAUAGUGAAAGACGGUUUUGCUGUCACUUAUAGAUGGAUCCGCGCCGCAUUAGCUAGUUGGUAAGGUAACGGCUUACCAAGGCGACGAUGCGUAGCCGACCUGAGAGGGUGAUCGGCCACACUGGAACUGAGACACGGUCCAGACUCCUAAGGGAGGCAGCAGUAGGGAAUCUUCCGCAAUGGGCGAAAGCCUGACGGAGCAACGCCGCGUGAGUGAUGAAGGUCUUCGGAUCGUAAAACUCUGUUAUUAGGGAAGAACAAAUGUGUAAGUAAAUAUGCACGUCUUGACGGUACCUAAUCAGAAAGCCACGGCUAACUACGUG